rnacentral:misc_RNA from 1 species
GUAGACCAACUAUUCCUAGCAUGACUGUCACUCGUUUGGCUUUAUCCAUGUCUUUAUGCAAAAAAGCACAAGAUAGGCAUUUCUGGGCUAAAUGCCAAAGGCAGCAACUCAUUUUUUCAUCCCCCAGAUGCAGGUACUUCAUAUAAUUUCUUAUUUUUACCAUUUUCAAAAUUAAUCCAAACAAGUCACUAAAAAAUUCCAAAAUAG